rfam:Hammondia hammondi strain H.H.34 contig04243, whole genome shotgun sequence.
CGAUGUUCUCAGGGCGGGGUGAAAAUCCCCACCGGCGGUAAGGGUGAUGAGCCCAAGCCCGCGAGCGCCUUCUUCCGCGAAGCCGGAAGAAGGGUCAGCAGAUUCGGUGCAAUUCCGAAGCCGACGGUUACAGUCCGGAUGAAAGAGAACGGUU